rnacentral:lncRNA from 1 species
AUAUCCCUACAACCCUAUAUCCCCAUGUCCCUAUAACCCUAUAUCCCCAUGUCCCUAUAACCUUAUAUCCCCACGACCCUAUAUCCCCAUGCCCCUAAAUCCUAUAUCCCCAUGUCCCUAUAUCCCCAUAUCCUCAUGUCCCUAUAACCCUAUACCCCCAUGACCCCAUGCCCUAUAUCCCCAUGACCCUAUAACCCUAUAGCCCCACAUCCCUAUAUCCUCAUAUCCCUACAACCCUAUAUCCCCAUGUUCCUAUAGUUCCAUGACCCUAUAAUCCUAUAUCCCCAUGUCCCUAUAGCCCCACAUCACUAUAUCCCCAUAUUCCCAUGUCCCUCUAAACUUAUAUCCCCAUGUCCCUAUAGCCCCAUGUCCCUAUAACCUUAUAUCCCCAUGACCCUAUAUCCCCAUGACCCUAUAACGCUAUAUCCCCAUGACCCCAUGUCCCUAUAUCCCCGUGUCCCUAUAUCCCCAUGACCCUAUAACCCCAUAUUCCCAUGUCCCCAUAUCCCUAUAUCCCCUAUGACCCCAUAUCCCUCUGCCACAGAAGUGGGGUUUGGGGGUUCCUCGGGGACUGAUGGUGCUGUGGUGGUGACACCAAUAGGGGAACAUGGAGCUCGUUACCAACCGACACUAACGAACUAAUGCUAAUGAAGCUGUGUGAUGCAAUGGGGCUGGGCAGGAAGAAAGCGCUGCGGGGCUGCCAAGGAAUAGGGCUGGGCUGUGAGGGGGGUGUAGAAGCCCACAGCCCCACCCUAUGGGUGCAGAACCCCACAGUCCCACCCUAUAGCUACAGAACCCCAUACUGUGGGUGCAGAACCCCAUAUUAUGGGUGCAGGAACCCCAAAAAGCCCAUACUAUGAGAGCAAAACCCCAUAGCCCCACCCUAUGGGUACAGAACCCCCAAAACCCUAUACUAUGAAUGCAGAAUCCCAUGCUAUGGGUACAGGAGUCCCACAGCCCCAUGCUCUGGGUGCAGAACCCUAUACUAUGGGUGCAGAACCCCACAACCCCACCCUAUGGGUACAGAACCCCAUACUAUGGGUGCAGAACCCCACCCUACGGGUGCAGGAAACCCAAGAACCCCAUACCAUGGGUGCAGAACCCCAUAGCCCCACCCUAUGGGUACAGAACCCCAUACUAUGGGUGCAGAACCCCACCCUACGGGUGCAGGAAACCCAAGAACCCCAUACCAUGGGUGCAGAACCCCAUAGCCCCACCCUAUGGGUGUAGGAACCCCAAGAACCCCACACUCUGAGUG